GGGGAUGUAGCUCAGUGGAAAAGCACUUGCCUGGCAUAUGUGCCACCUGGGUUCAAUCCCCAGUACCCCCU
rnacentral:tRNA from 1 species